rnacentral:rRNA from 1 species
UACGUAGGGAGCGAGCGUUGUCCGGAAUAACUGGGCGUAAAGGGAGUGUAGGUUGCGAUUUAAGUUAAAUGUGAAAGCCCGGGGCUCAACUCCGGAAGGUCAUUUAAUACUGGAUUGCUAGAGUGCAGGAGAGGUAAGCGGAAUUCCUAGUGUAGCGGUUAAAUGCGUAGAUAUUAGGAAGAACACCAGAGGCGAAGGCGGCUUACUGGCCUGUAACUGACACUGAAACUCGAAAGCGUGGGGAUCAAACAGG